rnacentral:lncRNA from 10 species
UUGCCUUAGAAUGCCCCCAAACAAGACAAUAACCAGCCCUUCUCUCCUUUCCUGCCACGUCCUAGCUAUGUACCUGUGCCACCCUUUCAGCCCAUGUCCUUUUGAUGACGACAGCCACAUUGUUUCAGUUUAUAAGGCACAUUCGAAUACCUUUUCCCACUUGCUACUCACACCCAUCACUUGAGGUAGGCAGUUUGGGUUUUAUCAGAGAGAUUAGAUGAUUUGACCAAGACCCCACAGAUGACUAGGUAGACAAAGCAGAGCCAGCCCAGGUCUUCUGACCCCAAUCCAGGGCUCCUUCCAGAACCUUCCUUCCUCCACCUCACAUCCCAUUAUCCCAAUAGCCCUGGGAGGCCAGAAGGGCAGGUGACAUUUCCCAAGUUUACAGAAGGGAAACCAAGUCCGGGAGAGAUGAGAUGCCUUGCCCAGGAUGCACAGCUACCCCUCACUCACAGUUGCCCCAACCCAAGCCCCCUAUUAGUCCAGGGCUCUCUCCACUCCACCAGGUGACCUAGGCGUGGAGCCCAGAACCACAGCCCAUCUGUGAAUUGUGUCACAGGCCUGGGGACAGCCCCACUAAAUUGAUUCCCUUCCCUCUUUGGAACCAGAGAACAUCUGAAUCACUUUAGCCCACAGCCCGCUGAACAGGAAUUUCUCAAGAAUAAAAAAAGCCACUGGGGCAUUGUUUAAAUAAGCCCUUCCCAGCCUUGACCGGAAACAUGGGCCCUUGUAGCUGGGGCAUGUAGGACACCGGUCUCCCUGCCUUUCCUCCAAGGUUCUCCAGAUCUGCUUGGGGACUGCGGGACACCUCGUUUACCUGUAGCAGGCCUUCAACUCAGCAUCCAGAGCCCCUCGUUCUCCCUGGAGCUGCUCCAGCUGCUUCCUGAGCUGAUCCAGGCAGGCCUCAAAGACAGGCUCCAGGCCCUGCUGGCUGCCACUCAACCCCUGUUGCUGCAGCAGAUGCCACUUCGUCUCC